rnacentral:rRNA from 1 species
UAGUCCUGGCCCGUAAACGAUGAACACUAGGUCUCGGGGGAAUCGACCCCCUCGGUGUCGUAGCCAACGCGUUAAGUGUUCCGCCUGGGGAGUACGCACGCAAGUGUGAACUCAAAGGAAUUGACGGGGGCCCGCACAAGCGGUGGAGUAUGUGGUUUAAUUCGAUGCAACGCGAAGAACCUUACCAGGGUUUGACAUCCUGCGAACCCCCUGGAAACGGGGGGGUGCCUUCGGGAACGCAGUGACAGGUGGUGCUUGGCUGUCGUCAGCUCGUGUCGUGAGAUGUUGGGUUAAGUCCCGCAACGAGCGCAACCCACGUCGUUAGUUGCCAGCAUUCAGUUGGGCACUCUAGCGAGACCGCCGGUGAUAAACCGGAGGAAGGUGUGGAUGACGUCAAGUCAUCAUGCCCCUUACAUCCUGGGCUACACACGUACUACAAUGCUACGGACAAAGGGCCGCAAGCUCGCGAGAGUUAGCAAAUCCCAUAAACCGUGGCUCAGUUCAGAUCGUAGGCUGCAACUCGCCUACGUGAAGGAGGAAUCGCUAGUAAUCGCAGGUCAGCAUACUGCGGUGAAUACGUUCCCGGGCCUUGUACACACCGCCCGUCACACCAUGG